rnacentral:lncRNA from 1 species
AUGAAUGCACCUAUGUACACGCAAGAACCUUCUACACAGCCAGUGUGAGCUUUUACUUCAAGAAAAAAUAUCAGAUAUAGUAACAUCCUUUAUUUUUUUUGGUAAGGUAGUAACAUCCUUUAUUAUGAGCAAUCUCCAUUCCUCAGUCGUCGGUAAAGAUCCAAGUAACCCAAUUGUUCUGGUUUGAUGAACCUGCAUAGACAAAAUGGAACAGAAUGUUUUGUCAAGGGGGUCAUAUAUAAGGAUGUUAAUAUCCCGGGGGAGAAAGGAAUAAGUACCCGUGCCGAAACAAGAAGUCAGUAAUGACAAGGGAACAGUUUGGCUUGAAAAAACUAGUCUCCCG